GACGAACGCUGGCGGCAUGCCUAAUACAUGCAAGUCGAGCGGAAACGAUGAUAGCUUGCUAUCAGGCGUCGAGCGGCGGACGGGUGAGUAAUACUUAGGAAUCUACCUAGUAGUGGGGGAUAGCUCGGGGAAACUCGAAUUAAUACCGCAUACGACCUACGGGAGAAAGGGGGCAACUUGUUGCUCUCGCUAUUAGAUGAGCCUAAGUCGGAUUAGCUAGAUGGUGGGGUAAAGGCCUACCAUGGCGACGGUCUGUAGCUGGUCUGAGAGGAUGAUCAGCCACACCGGGACUGAGACACGGGCCCCGG
rnacentral:rRNA from 1 species